GCCUCCAUGGCUCAGUGGUUAAGCAUCGACCUAUAAAUCAGGAGGUCCUGGUUCAAUUCCUGGUCAGGGCA
rnacentral:tRNA from 1 species